UGUCCUCUAGGACAUCAAAUGAAAAUUGAAACAAUACAGAUAAUAUUAGCAUAACCCUUGUGCGAGAAUGAAACACACAAAUAAUAAAAUGAU
rnacentral:snRNA from 1 species